GCCGCCCCUCCCCCCGCCUUUUCCUCCAUCUCUCUUACUCUCUAUCCGAGCCUCUCCACCCGCUCAGCAGGGAGCGUUGUGAGUUUCUUUCGAACAAAGUUUAAAGAUCUCUGUUUGAACCCAAGCCAUCCGCAAUCAGACUGCAUUUCUAAUCCUCCCUCCCUCUCUCCCUCCCUCACACAUACACACACAGUCUGUCUCUUUCUCCCUUUCAGUCAAUCCCCUUCCUCUCUUGGUCCUACUCAAGCCUUUUCCCACCCCCGACUCUGCCUCGGCGAUGAGUCCGCUGUCUGGAUCCCUUUUCCCAGGCGUGGGCUGAGGACCCAGCGGUUCGGCAGCGGGGAUCAUCGCACGACGCUCCCGGACCCCUACAACCUCCUGUUCUCCAGCGGCCUCCAGCAUGACCACCGGGCUGGGAGCAGGCAUCCGGGCUGCCGGAGCGCUCGCUGCUCAGUGGCUCAGUCUUGCGCCGCCUUUGCCGGGAGCGGGGAUCCGAGGUGGGAGAAGGCCUCUUCGCCCGGCUCCUGGGCACAGCUACCUGCCUGAACAGCUGCCUGGCACCGAGCCUGCGCUCCCCGAGCACCCGGCCGCGGGUCCGCGACGCCUUCCGGGGCUGAGUAGCCGAAAACUAUCUCCUACUGCAAGAAUCUACCCCGGAAGAGAGAGCCCAGAGAAUUGCCCAAGCUGUCUGCAAACAGUCAAUUGACGUGAAGGAAAAUUGGGACCAAUUGAAAACCCAUGCGAGCAACUGGCAGAAACAGGUGGAAAAGGCGUUAGAGAAACUUCAAGAACCGCAGAAAGCUCUGGAUGAUCUUGAGUCUCAUGUGAUAACAGCUGAGGGGGUCCACACUGAUUGGCAACCUGUGAAUGACCUGUUUAUUGACGCAUUGCAGGAUCACAUUGAUAAAACCACAGGUAAGGACUGCCUGCAAAAUCUGAGAUUGGGUUUUGAAAGACAUCAACCUUUGCUUGCGAGAGAUAAUGGUAACUGCAGAUGCUAGAGAAUGCGAGAUAACAAUGUGUGGAGCUGGAUGAACACAGCAGGCCAAGCAGCAUCUCAGGAGCACAAAAGCUGACAUUUCGGGCCUCGACCCUUCAUGCGAGAGAACGUAACGUUUUUAAAGAAGAAAUUGCCCCAGUCAAACAAGAAGUCAAAAUAUUAAAUGAUCUGGCCAGUCAGUUAUCUCCGCUUGAUGUCUCUUUCUCUCCAAAGAUUUCUCACCAGCUUGAUGACCUAAAUAUGAGGUUGAAAUUUAUACAGCAGCAGGAGGUGAGGAGGCAGAGACUGCAACCCUGAGGUCACGGAGGGAAGGAAAAGAGGCUCUUACUUGGAGAUUGAGAAGCAGGAGAGGGCACAACCCAGAGGUUUGGGAGUGGAGAGAGGCUGCAAGUUGGAGGUCAAGCCACCAGACUCAGAGUACCUGUUGGGACCAUCCAAAAAUGACUGAACAUUUUCACUCAUUAGGUAAGUAGAUUGAUAAUAGGACUCUGGUUCUGUGCCACUGUCAGAUCAUUGCGACUCCAAAAGGUACCAAAGUAAAUUCUGGAUUCUAGGCAAAUAUACCUAUGUGUUUAGAUCUAUUUAGAUGCAUUCAUGUAGGCUAAAAAUACUUGAAAUAAUGUAUAAUUAGGAGUGACAGACAACAUCUGUGACAUUAAAUGAAAAACAAGAACAAAGAACUUUGGUUCAUAUUUCAGCUUCGACAGGCACUAAACAACUAAAAGCACUGUAUAACCAAUGAAGUAAGUUUUUGAAGUAUGUUUGUAAUGUCGGAAACACAGCAACAAAUAUAUGCGCAGAAGGCUUUCACAAACAGAACUGUAAAAAUGACCACUUACUUUGUGAUAUUGAUUGAAUGCUAAGUGUUGGCCAGAAUGUAGAUCCACUGAACUGAAUACAGGUGGUUUGUGGGUAAGAAAGUCUUAACCCUUUGGACAAACCUAAUUUUAUUUGUAAUUUAUUAGCAAUAACUGAAUUGUGCAGUUUAAGUUCAGAAGUUCCCAAUUUUAAGUGGAGUUUUAACAAAUUCACCUUUGAAGAGCGUUUGGGCUUGAUGAACCCAAGUCUCAACUGAGUUAACUCAGCCUUUUGUGUUAGGGAUGUAUAAAUUAUCCAUCUUAGGGGAGGCGAUGGCCUCACGGUAUUGUCACUGGACUGUUCAUCCAGAGAGACAAAUCAUGUUCUGGGGACCUGGAUUCAAAUCCCGCUGUGGCAGAUGGUGGAAUUUGAAUUCAAUAAAUAUCCGGAAUUCACAAUCUGAUGAUGACCAUGAAUCUGUUGUUGCUUGUUGGAAAAGCUCAUCAGGUUCCCGAAUGCCUUUUAGGGAAGGAAACUGUCAUCCUUACCUGGCCUGGUCUGCAUGUGACUCCAGACCCACAGCAAUGUGGUUGACUUUUAACUGCCCUCUGGGUAAUCAGGGCUGGGCAAUAAAUGCUGCCUCGCCAGUGACGCCCUCGACGAGAUUGAAUCAAGAAAAAAAAUUACGAUUGCCUUUUCUAACUUCUCAGCCUUCAGUAAUUGAUUCUCCCAGUGCUAGAGAAGAAGUGGUGACUGUGGCUUAUUCUAUUCCCAAGGUUUAACAUGAUGCAACUGAUGGUAAAGUUAAUAAGCUUUAUGAAAACAUAAGUAAAUAUAUAUAAUUAAAUAAAAAUAGCAAAGUCAUUAAUUAGAACUCGGCUACAACAUGUAAGAGCUCCUGUGUUCCAGUAUGGUCUGGUGCAAGCAUGUUUGCUGUAAGCACUUAAUGUUUGAGUAGCUUGUGUUUAUGAGCUGGAGGCUGAUCUAGGGAUGCUGGGACACAUCAGGAGGGGAGCAAGUGACCUGGAUUCUUUGCACCAAGAGGCAGUCACAGCCCUUAAGUUUGUGUUUGUCUGAUUUGGUCAGUCUUCAGGCACAGGAGAGGUCGAUGGUGGAGGUUCAUUACGCUAAUACUGGGGAAAGUUGGACUGUCCUGUGGUGAGUUAUGGAUUCAACUGGGCCUGUGUUCAUGAGAGUUUAAAAAGAUGA